rnacentral:rRNA from 1 species
GAUGAACGCUGGCGGCGUGCCUAAUACAUGCAAGUCGAACGAACCUUCUUUAUGCUUGCUUGUUUGCUGUUACCGACAGACGGUUGAGUGACACAUGGAUGACUUACCUGUAAGACUCGUAUAACUUAGAGAAACCUGACCCAAGGCCACAUGAUCUUUUGAACCAUAAGGUUCAAUAGUGCAAGACGAUUUUGCUGUCACUUAUAGUUGUAUCGCCGCUGCAUUAGCUCGCGGCGCAUUAGCUAGUUGGUAAGGUAAAGGCUUACCAAGGCAAGGAUGCGUAGCCGAACUGAGAGGUUGAUCGGCCACACUGGGACUGAGACACGGUCCAGACUCCUACGGGAGGCAGCAGUAGGGAAUCUUCCGCAAUGGGCGAAAGCCUGACGGAGCAACGCCGCGUGAGUGAUGAAGGUCUUCGGAUCGUAAAACCCUGUUAUUAGGGAAGAACAUAUGUGUAAGUAACUGUUCACAUCUUGACGGUACCUAAUCAGAAAGCCACGGCUAACUACGUG